rnacentral:rRNA from 1 species
GAUGAACGCUAGCGGGAGGCCUAAUACAUGCAAGUCGAACGGUAACAGGUAGCAAUACGCUGACGAGUGGCGCACGGGUGCGUAACGCGUACACAAUCUGCCUUAUACUGGGGCAUAGCCUUUGGAAACGAAGAAUAAUUCCCCAUAACAUAUAGAAGAGGCAUCUCUUUUAUAUUAAAGCUCAGGCGGUAUAAGAUGAGUGUGCGUCCGAUUAGGUAGUUGGUGAGGUAACGGCUCACCAAGCCAACGAUCGGUAGCUGGUCUGAGAGGAUGAUCAGCCACACGGGCACUGAGACACGGGCCCGACUCCUACGGGAGGCAGCAGUAGGGAAUAUUGGACAAUGGGCGCAAGCCUGAUCCAGCCAUCCCGCGUGAAGGAUGAAGGUCCUCUGGAUUGUAAACUUCUUUUCUUCGGGAAUAAAAACUAGGGGUUCUCCUCAGCUUGAAGGUACCGAAGGAAUAAGCACCGGCUAACUCCGUGCCAGCAGCCGCGGUAAAGUC